CAGAGUGUAACAACUCCCAAAACCCACUGUGAACAUACCUCGCGUUGCCUCGGCGGGCUGCCCCGCGUCUCCGGACGGCGGGGUCCGCCGGCGGCCCACGAAACUCUUGUCGGUAUUUGGCAUCUCUGAACGCAAACUAAAUCAGUUA
rnacentral:misc_RNA from 1 species